rnacentral:rRNA from 1 species
UAGGGCGUCCAGUUGCACGGUGUAGACCCGAAACCGAGUGAUCUAUCCAUGGCCAGGUUGAAGCGCGGGUAAAACCGCGUGGAGGACCGAACCCACCUAGGUUGAAAACUGGGGGGAUGAGCUGUGGCUAGGGGUGAAAGGCCAAUCAAACUCGGAGAUAGCUGGUUCUCCUCGAAAUAUAUUUAGGUAUAGCCUCAGGUAGUUGUGUCGCGGAGGUAGAGCACUGAAUGGGCUAGGGGUCAAACCAGAUUACCAACCCCAAUCAAACUCCGAAUGCCGUUGACAUCGAGCCUGGGAGUCAGCCGUUGGGUGAUAACGUCCAACGACAAAAGGGAAAGAUCCCAGACCGCCAGCUAAGGCCCCCAAGUUGUGACUAAGUGGGAAAGGAUGUGGGAGCACACAGACAACCAGGAGGUUGGCUUAGAAGCAGCCACCCUUGAAAGAAAGCGUAAUAGCUCACUGGUCAAGUGAGCCUGCGCCGAAAAUGUAACGGGGCUAAGUCACACGCCGAAGCUGCGGACUGUCGCAAGACAGUGGUAGAGGAGCGUUCCAAAGGCUGCGAAGCUCGACCGGCAAGGACGGGUGGAGCGUUUGGAAGCGAGUAUGCUGACGUGAGUAGCGAUCAAGCCGGUGAGAAUCCGGCUCGCCGAAAGCCUAAGGGUUCCUGGGCCAGGUUCAUCCUCCCAGGGUCAGUCGGGACCUAAGCCGAGGCCGAAAGGCGUAGGCGAUGGAAAGCAGGCAAACAUUCCUGCACCACCGAGGAUAGCGUUGAAGCGAGGGGGGACGGAGAAAGAUAUCCUGGCCAUCUAUUGGAUGAUGGUUCAAC